GCUGUGUGCCUAAUACAUGCAUGUUGAACGGGAUGUAGCAAUACAUUCAGUAGCGAAUGGGUGAGUAACACGUACCUAACCUACCUUUAAGACUGGGAUAACUAUUGGAAACAAUAGCUAAUACCGGAUAUAGUUAUUUAUCGCAUGAUGAGUAAUAGAAAGGAGCUUCACAGCUUCACUUAAAAAUGGGGGUGCGGAACAUUAGUUAGUUGGUAGGGUAAUGGCCUACCAAGACGAUGAUGUUUAGCCGGGCCGAGAGGCUGUACGGCCACACUGGGACUGAGAUACGGCCCAGACUCCUACGGGAGGCAGCAGUAAGGAAUUUUCCACAAUGAGCGAAAGCUUGAUGGAGCGACACAGCGUGCAGGAUGAAGUUCUUCGGAAUGUAAACUGCUGUUAUAAGGGAAGAAAAAAUAGAAUAGGAAAUGAUUUUAUCUUGACGGUACCUUAUUAGAAAGCGACGGCAAACUAUGUGCCAGCAGCCGCGGUAAUACAUAGGUCGCAAGCGUUAUCCGGAAUUAUUGGGCGUAAAGCGUCCGUAGGUUUUUUGCUAAGUCUGGAGUUAAAUGCUGAAGCUCAACUUCAGUCCGCUUUGGAUACUGGCAAAAUAGAAUUAUAAAGAGGUUAGCGGAAUUCCUAGUGAAGCGGUGGAAUGCGUAGAUAUUAGGAAGAACACCAAUAGGCGAAGGCAGCUAACUGGUUAUAUAUUGACACUAAGGGACGAAAGCGUGGGGAGCAAACAGGAUUAGAUACCCUGGUAGUCCACGCCGUAAACGAUGAUCAUUAGUUGGUGGAAUAAUUUCACUAACGCAGCUAACGCGUUAAAUGAUCCGCCUGAGUAGUAUGCUCGCAAGAGUGAAACUUAAAGGAAUUGACGGGAACCCGCACAAGCGGUGGAGCAUGUGGUUUAAUUUGAAGAUACGCGUAGAACCUUACCCACUCUUGACAUCUUCUGCAAAGCUAUAGAGAUAUAGUGGAGGUUAACAGAAUGACAGAUGGUGCAUGGUUGUCGUCAGCUCGUGUCGUGAGAUGUUAGGUUAAGUCCUGCAACGAGCGCAACCCUUUUCUUUAGUUACUAAUAUUAAGUUAAGGACUCUAGAGAUACUGCCUGGGUAACCAGGAGGAAGGUGGGGACGACGUCAAAUCAUCAUGCCUCUUACGAGUGGGGCAACACACGUGCUACAAUGGUCGGUACAAAGAGAAGCAAUAUGGUGACAUGGAGCAAAUCUCAAAAAACCGAUCUCAGUUCGGAUUGAAGUCUGCAACUCGACUUCAUGAAGUCGGAAUCGCUAGUAAUCGUAGAUCAGCUACGCUACGGUGAAUACGUUCUCGGGUUUUGUACACACCGCCCGUCACACCAUGGGAGUUGGUAAUGCCCAAAGUCGGUGAGUUAACUUCGGAGACCAUUGCCUAAGGCAGGACUGAUGACUGGGGUGAAGUCGUAACAAGGUAUCCCUACGAGAAC
rnacentral:rRNA from 1 species